UACGUAGGGUGCAGGCGUUAAUCGGAAUUACUGGGCGUAAAGCGUGCGCAGGCGGUUUUUUAAGUCAGAUGUGAAAGCCCCGGGCUUAACCUGGGAACUGCGUUUGAAACUGGGAGACUUGAGUGUGGCAGAGGGGGGUGGAAUUCCACGUGUAGCAGUGAAAUGCGUAGAUAUGUGGAGGAACACCAAUGGCGAAGGCAGCCCCCUGGGUCAACACUGGCGCUGAGUGAGCGAAAGCCAGGGGAGCAAACGGG
rnacentral:rRNA from 1 species